rnacentral:rRNA from 1 species
AGUGAACGCUGGCGGUAGGCCUAACACAUGCAAGUCGAACGGCAGCACAGUAAGAGCUUGCUCUUACGGGUGGCGAGUGGCGGACGGGUGAGGAAUACAUCGGAAUCUACUUUUUCGUGGGGGAUAACGUAGGGAAACUUACGCUAAUACCGCAUACGACCUACGGGUGAAAGCAGGGGAUCUUCGGACCUUUGGCGAUUGAAUUAGCCGAUGUCGGAUUAGCUAGUUGGCGGGGUAAAGGCCCACCAAGGCGACGAUCCGUAGCUGGUCUGAGAGGAUGAUCAGCCACACUGGAACUGAGACACGGUCCAGACUCCUACGGGAGGCAGCAGUGGGGAAUAUUGGACAAAGGGCGCAAGCCUGAUCCAGCCAUACCGCGUGGGUGAAGAAGGCCUUCGGGUUGUAAAGCCCUUUUGUUGGGAAAGAAAAGCAGCAGGUUAAUACCCCGCUGUUCUGACGGUACCCAAAGAAUAAGCACCGGCUAACUUCGUG